rnacentral:rRNA from 1 species
UUGACGGGGACCCGCACAAGCGGUGGAGCAUGUGGUUUAAUUCGAAGCAACGCGAAGAACCUUACCAAAUCUUGACAUCCUCUGACCCCUCUAGAGAUAGAGUUUUCCCCUUCGGGGGACAGAGUGACAGGUGGUGCAUGGUUGUCGUCAGCUCGUGUCGUGAGAUGUUGGGUUAAGUCCCGCAACGAGCGCAACCCUUAAGCUUAGUUGCCAUCAUUAAGUUGGGCACUCUAAGUUGACUGCCGGUGACAAACCGGAGGAAGGUGGGGAUGACGUCAAAUCAUCAUGCCCCUUAUGAUUUGGGCUACACACGUGCUACAAUGGACAAUACAAAGGGCAGCGAAACCGCGAGGUCAAGCAAAUCCCAUAAAGUUGUUCUCAGUUCGGAUUGUAGUCUGCAACUCGACUAUAUGAAGCUGGAAUCGCUAGUAAUCGUAGAUCAGCAUGCUACGGUGAAUACGUUCCCGGGUCUUGUACACACCGCCCGUCACACCACGAGAGUUUGUAACACCCGAAGCCGGUGGAGUAACCAUUUGGAGCUAGCCGUCGAAGGUGGGACAAAUGAUUGGGGUGAAGUCGUAACAAGGUAGCCGUAUCGGAAGGUGCGGCUGGAUCACCUCCUUU